rnacentral:lncRNA from 1 species
CCCAGGCAGAGCACCAGGCAGAGCACCAGGCAGAGCCCCAGGCAGAGCCCCAGGCAGAGCACCAGGCAGAGCACCAGGCAGAGCACCAGGCAAAGCCCCAGGCAAAGCCCCAGGCAAAGCCCCAGGAACUCCAGGCAAAGCCCCAGGCAGAGCCCCAGGCAAAGCCCCAGGCAAAGCCCCAGGCAAAGCCCCAGGCAAAGCCCCAGGAACUCCAGGCAAAGCCCCAGGCAAAGCCCCAGGAACUCCAGGCAAAGCCCCAGGCAGAGCCCCAGGCAGAGCACCAGGCAGAGCACCAGGCAGAGCCCCAGGUGCCCCAGGCAAAGCCCCAGGCAAAGCCCCAGGCAAAGCCCCAGGAACUCCAGGCAAAGCCCCAGGCAGAGCACCAGGCAGAGCACCAGGCAGAGCACCAGGCAGAGCACCAGGAACUCCAGGCAAAGCCCCAGGCAGAGCCCCAGGCAGAGCCCCAGGAGCCCCAGGCCGAGCCCCAGGAGCCCCAGGCAAAGCCCCAGGCAAAGCCCCAGGCAAAGCCCCAGGCAAAGCCCCAGGAGCUCCAGGCAAAGCCCCAGGCAAAGCCCCAGGAACUCCAGGCAAAGCCCCAGGCAGAGCCCCAGGCAGAGCACCAGGCAGAGCCCCAGGCAGAGCCCCAGGCAGAGCCCCAGGUGCCCCAGGCAAAGCCCCAGGCAAAGCCCCAGGCAAAGCCCCAGGAACUCCAGGCAAAGCCCCAGGCAAAGCCCCAGGAACUCCAGGCAAAGCCCCAGGCAAGCCCCAGGCAAAGCUCCAGGCAAAGCCCCAGGCAAGCCUCUUGGUGGUAAGGGCCAUGCGCCUGGGACAGCCAGUUCAGGUCUAGGCCAAGAGGAUGGAAUGAAACCAGGCCUCCCUCUAGGCCCAAAUGAAGGGCCAGGGACAGUCUCAGUCAUGGAGACCCGAGUCUGCUGUAGCCCCAGGGGGCCACGAAACUCAUCGGCCUGAGCGAAUUCCUGUCUCUCAAGGGGUCCUGUGGUUCCAACAGGCAUGAAGGUCUUCGUGGGGUGUGCGAUAUGGUCUUCAUCCUCAAACUGCCCCAGUUCCUCCUUAGAUCUCUGCAGGGAAGAGGACCAAUUGACUGUCUG